rnacentral:rRNA from 1 species
AAUGCUUGGGAAUCUGGCUUAUGGAGGGGGAUAACUACGGGAAACUGUAGCUAAUACCGCGUAGAAUCGGAAGAUGAAAGUGCGGGACCGCAAGGCCGCAUGCCAUGAGAUGAGCCCAAGUGGGAUUAGGUAGUUGGUGGGGUAAAGGCCUACCAAGCCUGCGAUCUCUAGCUGGUCUGAGAGGAUGGCCAGCCACACUGGAACUGAGACACGGUCCAG